AUACGGAGGGGGCAAGCGUUAUUCGGAAUUAUUGGGCGUAAAGGGCGCGUAGGCGGUCUUUUAAGUCAGUGGUGAAAUCCCUCGGCUCAACCGAGGAACUGCCUCUGAAACUGAAAGACUUGAGACCGGGAGAGGGUGGUGGAAUUCCCAGUGUAGCGGUGAAAUGCGUAGAUAUUGGGAGGAACACCAGUGGCGAAGGCGACCACCUGGACCGGUCCUGACGCUGAGGCGCGAAAGUGUGGGGAGCAAACAGGAUUAGAAACCCUAGUAGUCC
rnacentral:rRNA from 1 species